UACAGAAUAUGGCAGCAGAUUUUAAUACAGCUGAGGGUCCAUCUACCUCCACACAGAAUCUUAGCAGUUUGCCUGCCAAAGAGCUGUAUAAGGUCCACCUUCAAAAGCAAAUAAGAAAAGGUGGCAGGAGAUGGACCUUAUACAGCUUCAAAUGGAGGAGAAAAGGCUUAACCUAAAAAAGGCCAGACUUGAAAUUGAAUUGCUGGAGCACCAGCUUAAGGUGGGAAACAGUAUGUGAACAUUAAUCUGUCAUUUGUUGUUGAAUGAAAUCUAAAGCAAUAAAUACAAAUGUAUUUUGUUACAGGAAAUAAAGAAACAAUGAACAACA